CGAUGAUACGCGAGAAACUUUACCAGGGCUUGACAUAUACAGGACGCAGUUAGAGAUAGCUGUUUCUCUUCGGAGACCUGUAUACAGGUGCUGCAUGGUUGUCGUCAGCUCGUGCCGUGAGGUGUUGGGUUAAGUCCCGCAACGAGCGCAACCCCUGUUGUAUGUUACCAUCAUUAAGUUGGGGACUCAUGCAAGACUGCCGGUGACAAACCGGAGGAAGGUGGGGAUGACGUCAAAUCAUCAUGGCCCUUAUGUCCUGGGCUACACACGUGCUACAAUGGCCGGUACAGAGUGAUGCGAAGCCGCGAGGUGAAGCGAAACGCUUAAAGCCGGUCUCAGUUCGGAUUGGAGUCUGAAACUCGACUCCAUGAAGGUGGAAUCGCUAGUAAUCGCGCAUCAGCAUGGCGCGGUGAAUACGUUCCCGGGCCUUGUACACACCGCCCGUCACACCACCCGAGUCGGGGGUACCCGAAGUCAGCAGACUAACCUUUAUUGGAGGUCACUGCCGAAGGUAGCUCGGUAAGGGGGGGGAAGGUGUAACAAGGUAACC
rnacentral:rRNA from 1 species